rnacentral:tRNA from 1 species
AUUCAAAUAUCUUAUAAAGAGUAUAACAUUGAAGAUGUUAAGGAGAUAGAAAAUUAUCUUUGAAUA